AAGCUCAUGAUUGGGGCAUUUGAGCAUUAAAGUCUUCAAUCUCUCCCAUGCUUGGGCAAUACUUUCUCCAUCAUGAGGCCAAAAAUUAUAUAUAUGGUUUCGAUCUU